CCGUGCGCUCGGGUGCGGAUUCCGGGCCUCGCCGGCCGAGGGAGUCGGGCAGGGCCCCGCGGCUGCUACCCCUGGGAGGGGAGCAGUGACCAAGUUUCCCGGCUGAGCCGAGGGACCUCGCCCGGCCGCGGGCCGCUUGUCCCCAGCUCUCCCGAGCCGGCCGGGUCCCGCCCCACCUCUUCGCGUCCUCCGCCUGGCUCUGCUCUCCGCCUCCAGCGUUUCCUCUCCCUCCCAGGGUCCCCACCCUCCUGGUUCUCUCGCGCGCCCAUCUCCUUCCCGACCCCUUCCCACCCACCUUGUCCCCCGCCCCCACGCUCCGGCAGUUUGUGCCUGGGAGAGUCCCAAACAACACUCUUAAAGCCAAUAAACCCAGAAUGUCAGCACUUCUCAAACCGUGCGAUGUCCUGUCGCUUCUGGAGAGCAAAUUGACCCGGGGUGGAUUUGGAUCGGCUUCCCGGGAGAGGCUCUAAAGCUUUCAAAAUUGCUAAGUCAGGAGACAACUGGUUAUUUUCCUAGCACCUUUGCAGGCUGAGGACUUCAUCUUUCUCAGACGCCCCCAGCCCAGGGACAUUAACCCAUUGCUCAGAUGGAGGACGUGGAGCAGGGAGAUUCUUUGAAGUGGGAAGCAUUUCUCUGUGUGCCCACACCUUACUCUUCGAUCUGGAAGUUUUCAUAGGAGGAAGUUUGCGUUCCUGAAGAACCCUGCUCUACAGCAAACCCUAACAUGAUAGAAGCCUCACCUUAGAGGAAAAUGGAAGAGUUGGAGACGCACAGUGACUACUGAUACGAAGGAAUUCUCUUGUUGACAAAAGUGAGAGAAACUCCAGCAGCACAAAUCAGUGUUUCCAUGUCCCAAGAUGCAAGGAGAGAAUUUGGAAUGGGAGGGAAAACAACAGCAGGAAAUGAAAUGCUUGCCUAGAGAAUUCUAAGCAAAUCAGUCACUAGUCCAAGCAGGAGUUUUUGUGUGUUUUUUUUUUAAUAUUCACUUCCAAUUUGUUUUACUCAAUUCAGAAAUUUUUCCCAAGGGGAGGUGGUCAGGAAAAAAAAAAACCAUUAACAGGAAGAUGAAUUGGGCCACAACUUCUGAAUGGUUUGCAGCGCUAAUGGAGAUGGUGGAAGUUCAGUUCUAGGAAUGAAAGAAAACCGUGGCUCACAUUCUGUUUUCCAUCUGUGUGGUAGAUUUUAAGCUGGGUAUUCUAUAAGGCUUCACUUGGCUGAAGAACAACUGUGGCCCUGAAUUUUCAUUUAUUUUUUUUUAAAUGAAAGGAUAUUUGUUGUCUUUCCAAAAUGUUGACAUUUUAAAUCAUUCUUACUUUGCAA